UACGGAGGGUGCAAGCGUUAUCCGGAUUUACUGGGUUUAAAGGGUGUGUAGGCGGGCUUUUAAGUCAGUGGUGAAAUCUCCGGGCUCAACCUGGAAACUGCCAUUGAUACUAUUAGUCUUGAAUUUUGUUGAGGUAGGCGGAAUAAGUCAUGUAGCGGUGAAAUGCAUAGAUAUGACGUAGAACACCAAUUGCGAAGGCAGCUUGCUAAACAAAUAUUGACGCUGAGGCACGAAAGCGUGGGGAUCAAACAGG
rnacentral:rRNA from 1 species